GAUGAACGCUGGCGGCGUGCCUAAUACAUGCAAGUCGAGCGAGCGGACGAGAAGCUUGCUUCUCUGAUGUUAGCGGCGGACGGGUGAGUAACACGUGGAUAACCUACCUAUAAGACUGGGAUAACUUCGGGAAACCGGAGCUAAUACCGGAUGAUAUUUUGAACCGCAUGGUUCAAAAGUGAAAGACGGUCUUGCUGUCACUUAUAGAUGGAUCCGCGCUGCAUUAGCUAGUUGGUAAGGUAACGGCUUACCAAGGAAACGAUGCAUAGCCGACCUGAGAGGGUGAUCGGCCACACUGGAACUGAGACACGGUCCAGACUCCUACGGGAGGCAGCAGUAGGGAAUCUUCCGCAAUGGGCGAAAGCCUGACGGAGCAACGCCGCGUGAGUGAUGAAGGUCUUCGGAUCGUAAAACUCUGUUAUUAGGGAAGAACAUAUGUGUAAGUAACUGUGCACAUCUUGACGGUACCUAAUCAGAAAGCCACGGCUAACUACGUG
rnacentral:rRNA from 1 species